rnacentral:snRNA from 2 species
AGAAGUGAGGAUGAUCUGGCUGUGAUAUCUGUCACCCCAUUGAUUGGCCAGCAUUGAUUCUGCUGAUCUGGUUAGCUAGGCAUUGUCCCCUUCCUCCCUCACUGCUUUGUGUGCGUCCCUCCCAGAGCUGCAAGCUCAGUUGAAGAGGAUGACCUUCCCCAUAGAGGAGGACCCUUCUUCAGUCAAGGUAUACGAGUAGCUGCAUUCCCUUGCUAGAACUUCCAAAUGAGCUUUCAAAGGGAGGGAUUCUUUUUGGAUGGGCCAAGCAGAGAAGAGCAGUAUUUUGAACAAAUAAUACAACCUAUUAUAGUUGCUUAAUAAAUUGUAACUAUUAUUG